CUCAAGCAUCAACCGUAUUGAUCAAGCUCUGAGAUAUAAAGGUUGGGUUGAAAACGAAUCAGAGGGGUUUGGUUUUCAAAGCUUUUGAAUUUUUGAUUUUUAUGUAGCAUUUUCGAUUUUGAUUGUAGGUUGCUUGGGUAGGCUAGAGAAGAGGAGAGAUCCAAGAUUGUGGUCGACUUGCGAGGAAGAAUUGAUCAAAGGUCAACUAAGAUCAAGACAAAGAAGAGGAGGAGGACGAACACGUAGAGGGCGAUGAUGUUGAUGUUAUUCGGAGCGAUGCGACUGAAGAAGAAGAAGAUGAGGAGGACGAUGGAUGAGGUUGAAGUUGCCGUGAAGCAUAAAACUUGCCAAUUUUGGAGAUUGGGUUCAGUUUUAAAAGUCAGUCGCUGCAAAACUAGUGUAAGUGUAAUUUCUCUGUAUCCAUUUGCUGUUUUUGGUAACUGAAAAGCUAUGGAAUUCGCCAUAGAAUUGGAAUUCUUCUGCUCUAAGUGGAAAUUUAUAAAAUGAGUUGCUUAGUUUUCUGGAAUGUAUCUUAUUGGUUUCUCAGCUUAUUGUAUACACCAUGCAUUAUAUAAAAGCCAUACUUGCUACUGAUUUUGAGUACUGAAAGUAAGUUAUAUGCACCCUGGAUUUUGUUCAGUUUAAUAGCUUAGGUGAUGAAAGAUUUGGACUUUGUUUGUGUAGGGAUGUAUCUAAUGUAUCUUAUUUUGUCUAUACAUGUGCUGAGAUAAAAUUCUAUUAUUCAAAACAGUUAUGACCAAGAAUAGAAGCUGAUUUUGUAUGGGAAUACUGACUAGUGGCUGGGUCUACUAUUCAAAUCUCCAGAAAUACUUGAAGCUGUUGGUGCAUUUCAAAAGACACCAAUGGUAAUGCACCAACAAAAGGUAUUUGCAACUGGCAUGUGGUUUAUAUUGAUGGUGACCAGACUACAUUAGAUUGACAUUAGAGCGGACUUCAUUAAUAGCACCUGCUGCUACCCUUGAUGUAUUUUGUUUUUGUUUUGGGAUGCAAAUGUUGCAAAGAGAGAAAGAAAUAAAGGUGCAAAGCAACUUGAUCCAAAGUUUGUUCU